GCUCUGAUACCAUCUUAAGAAAAUAGGCCAGACCUAAUUCACUCCCAAAAGCUCACUCAAGGGAAAGAGAUUUGCCCAAGUCUUAUAUAUAGCACAAGUACCUUUUCUCAAACCAAUGAAAGACAAAACACCCCCUCACGUCCAGGUAUGAACAUCUGGAGCAAACACAUCUACGGAUGGUCCAACAUUGAAGCAAGGUAAGCUCUGAUACCAUGUUGAGUUUUUAGAAAGAAAAAAGAAAAGGGAGAGAAAGGGAGAG
rnacentral:misc_RNA from 1 species